CUCUAGAUCUGUCUGAGUUUCCAUCUCUGACCAACAGAGGACCUCAAGAAUCAAACACCUCCAGUUUAGCUCCUAGCAUCAUCCAAGGUAGACCACCUUAUGUUGGAAUGGUCAAACAACCACCAAAUGAGUCCAGUGAAUUUCACAUACAUAAUGAAGAUUUUCCUGCUUUACCUGGGUCUCAAAGUCAAGAAAGUAAUCCAAGAUGAUGUUAAUAAAGUG